GCCAGCAGUCACCAGUGAAGAAAGUAUGGCAUACACCAGCAAGAUGAUCGUACUUGCUACAAGAGAGGAGGAAAUUCUACAAGGCAGGGAUGAGUCAGGAGGAUAUGAUACCAAAGGAAAUGAGCUAAUCACGAAGAAAUGCUUGCUGAGUGACUCCGUCUAUUUGAGGUUGAUCCUGAAAGCUUUGGCUUCCUUCCUCCUGGAGCCAUGCAUUACCGAGGAAGAAUUCCAGGCUCCCCCAGAGAAAAGCUGCACAGAGACACCCUGGAAGAUGAGAAAGCAGAUGGAGUGAAGCCUGUGGAGGAGCACUCGGGGAUCAAACCUAACAGGCUACCUGGAGCUGAACUUCCCCUUGACUGUAGCGUCAGAAGUCGCAGAAGAGACACCUACAAACUAUGGCAAGAUAAAAUAAACUCAUUGCUGUUUUAGCUCACUAAAGUUCUAGACAUACUGCAUAGUAUAACUAGCCCACCCUAUUUUGAGUGUGGAUAUUUAGCAAUAUUCAGCAAGAGACCCUGGGAGGUCUGGACCCAUGGCAGGAUCUGGGUGAAAUAAAUCAACAUGAUGAUUGUCAGCGAUGGAGGGAAAUGCCAAAAGUAGACCAGCAACCCAGAAAAAGAAGACAUAAUCACAUCAUGCUUUAUUCAAAAAGAGCCAAAUACUACACAAAUUUACAUAGACAGUUCCUCAAAAGAGUGCAUCCAUUUCCUCUUUUUAAAAAUUAUCCCAGAGGGAAGAGGAGGAGGAGAGAGAAUAAGAACUCAAUGAUGAAAAAUUAAAUUGCCUAAGUUGUGGUUUGGGGGCGUUUGACUAAGCAAGUGAUCACCUUAAGUAAGUUGCUUUUUAUGUUUCUGGGAUAACGUGCUUUGUUUGGCAUAAGGGAACCAUCUAUUUCCCACUACUUUAACUGUAUGAGGCUCUGCCAAACCCCAGAACAGUUAAAUGUUCAGGAAGAGAGGGUCUCACAUAUGCCCAUGUUGGUUGGUUUUGUCAACCUGACACAAACCUAGACAUAGCUCAGAAGAGGGAAUCUUAACUGAGAGUAAGUUUCUAUCAGAUUGGCAUGCUUGCAAGUCUGUGGCGCUUUAUCUUGCUCAAUGAUUGAUGUGGAAAGGACCAGCCCCUUAGGGGUGGCGCCAACCUUUGGUAAGUGGUUCUGGUGUUGUAUAAGAAAACCAACUGAGCUAUCCAGAAGAAGCAAGGCAGUAGGUAGCACUCAUCUACAUUCUCUGCAUCAGCUUCUGACUCCAUAUUCUGAUUGAGUUCCUGCCUUGACUUCCCUGGGUGAUAGACUACAAACUAUAAGCUGCAAUAAACCCUUUCCUUCCCAAGUUGUUUUUAGUCAUGGUGUUUUAUCAGAGCAGCAGAAACCCCAACUAAGACAAUGGGUGGUUUCUGUCUUUGUUUUUCAACUAAAGGAAAAAAAGAAAAAAUGGUCACCAUUUGCCUGUCUAUUAUUAUUUGAAGAGCCUACAUAAUACCCACAAGACCUCAGAUAAAACUGAGAAAUUUGGAAGUUAAAAUGAGCUCAAAGUCACUUGCUGCUUCUAUUUAUUUAUUUGGUCUGAGAUGAUCUCCACACUGACUUACCAUAUGGCAUUAAAUCAUUCUGGUCCCUGAGUUAUUAUUACAUGAUUCAAAGAGUAUAAUUUACAGAAUUGCCAGCCCAGGCUGCACUGUGUCCCACACCAAAAAAAGACCACAAGGAGGGGAGCAGGAAAAUGCCUGUUUCCUGGUAGCCCAUAUUUACGCAAUUUUCUCCAACACAGAUUGUCUUGGCAGUCUAGAC
rnacentral:lncRNA from 1 species